UACGGAAGGUCCGGGCGUUAUCCGGAUUUAUUGGGUUUAAAGGGAGCGUAGGCGGACUUUCAAGUCAGUGGUAAAAUCGUGUGGCUCAACCAUACCUCGCCAUUGAAACUGGAAGCCUGGAGUGCACACAGGGGUGCCGGAAUUCAUGGUGUAGCGGUGAAAUGCUUAGAUAUCAUGAAGAACUCCGACAGCGAAGGCAUUCUGCCGGGGUGCAACUGACGCUGAGGCUCGAAGGUGCGGGUAUCGAACAGG
rnacentral:rRNA from 1 species